GCUUCCAAGAGGUGACACCCUCCUAGAUGUCUCAUAUGAACCUGUGAUCUAAAGGUAACUCUCUUAUAGGACUUUCUGAAACACAAUGAAGUGGCUUUUAAGUCCUGGCAUCACUGUGAUGGUUCACCUGCUGAUGCCACAGUGCCAAGCCUUCAUCAUCACAGAAUCGAUGGUGAAUGAAGCCCUGACCCUCCCGUGUAACUGCUCAGGAAAUUGUCCAGCGGUUUGGUGGAUCCGGCUUCAUUCCUGACAACGCUGUCAUUGUUCAGAGCUGGAAGUGUUCAAAACAAGAGCAUUUUAACAAAAGAUUUACACUACCAGGAGAUACAAGCAGAGGAAAUUUCUCCCUGAUGAUCAGUUCAGUAGUCUACAAUGAUGCAGGCUCUUACAACUGCAGCUGUAAUGAAAAAUUAGUGACUGAAGUAAAGCUGAAAGUUAUCAUUCCGACAGUUGUAAAGGCUUUCGAGGGGAAGAACGUCACUCUCCCGUGUUACGGAGACACUCGACAAGUCGUUAAAGAUGUAAAGUGGAAGAAAGAUGGACACGAGGUUCUGCUGUACACUCCUGCAAACAGAUGGAUGACUAAACAAAACAGAUUCACGAUGUCAGUAGAAGGCUUUCUAGACGGUGAUCUCUCUCUUCACAUCAGUCCAGUUCACCUGUCUGAUACAGGAUUAUAUCAGUGUCUCAUCCACGAUGAAUCUCAGGACGGAGAACCACGAGCUGUGUUACUGAAGGUAGAAGGGCAACAACAAUUCACAACCACCAACAGCGCUCCAGUUUCAGGAUGGUUUGCACUGCUCGUAUUGUUCAUAUCUGUAUGGAACAUUAUUAUGGGGUCACGGUGGCUUAGUGGUUAGCACGUUCGCCUCACACCUCCAAGGUUGGGGGUUCGAUUCCUGCCUCCGCCUUGUGUGUGUGGAGUUUGCAUGAUCUCCCCGUGCCUCAGGGGUUACAUCCGGGUACUCCGGUUUCCUCCCCUGGUCCAAAGACAUGCAUGGUAGGUUGAUUGGCAUCUCUGGAAAAUUGUCCGUAGUGUGUGAGUGCGUGAGUGAAUGAGAGUGUGUGUGUGCCCUGCGAUGGGUUUGCACUCCGUCCAGGGUGUAUCCUGCCUUGAUGCCCAAUGACGCCUGGCACAGGCUACCCGUGACCCGAGGUAGUUCGGAUAAGCGGUAGAAAAUGAGUGAGUGAGAGUGAGUGAGAUUACCUGAUCAUCUAUUAUUACAUGAGAAAAUGCAGAGACCAGAUUUAAUCUAAGACUGCAGGAUCUUUAGCUUUCCUGUACAUCACUGUUCUGUUGUCCUGUGUGUUCCUUUUAUUCUGUGUGUUUAUUGUCCUGUUCUCAUCUCACACUGUAUGCAAUCUUAUGUACUGUUACGUGUUACACCAUGAUACAUGGUAUUUUUGAUCUAUCAUGUACAAGCUAUAUAGCUGUGAUGUGUGAAGGGACUCGUGGCUGGUGAGGCACUGACUCUUUUAAAGUCAGAUUUACAAAUUUAUGAAUUUAACCGAGUAUCUUAAAUUCACCAUUCAGGUGGCUGCUUGCACAUUGAUUAAUGAUUAUUUAAUGUCUCCUGUUUUAACUUGAACUGACAUAUUAAAUGAAGAGGAAACACAACAGUAUUUAAACGUCUACACAAUGACUUAAUUAACAUUUACUUUAGUUUACUUGUAUUCAACGUCUUCUGAAAAAGAUUUUGAAAAUCUGGAGCCACCACAAGUGUUUUAUUUCCUUUGUUUUAAACCGUAUUUAAACAUACAGGUACUGUAUAAAGAUAUGCUUUUAUGAUGAUUAUUAGAGGUACAAAAGUGACAAGAUGUUCUGUACUAAGUCUAAGCCAAAAACUGCUGAUCAAAUUAUGAAUAUGUCGAAAUGUAGAGAACAUUUAUAUUUGUGUUACAGUAUAUGAUCAUAUUUGCCUGUUGUGUUAUAAGGGUUCAAAUAAUUCUGUUAUUAUAUCUAUAACACAGAUGCUGUUUACUCUCAUGGUGAUGUUUAUGAUAUAGACUGUGUGAUUGUCUUUAAUGAUUGUUUAUAAGAAUUUGUUUAAAAGUCAUAUUUAAAUUUAAAUAAUUUGAAUGUGUAUUUUAAUGAUAAUGAAAAUGAAAUGCUUUUUUUUUUUCAUUUUGCCUUGACUAAAUGAAAAUAUGGAGUAUAAAAUAUUAUUGAUUGUAUUAUGUUCAUUGUUGUGUUUGUUUAGUGCUGCCAGACUCCAGCAGUCACACAAAACAAAGAGGAAACACAAUUUAAAGGCAUUUUAAAUGUCUACACAACUCCUUAAUUAACAUUUACUUUAUUAUACUUUAUAAAACUUCUGAAAAAGGAUUUAAAAUGCUGGAGCCACCUGAAGAGGUUCAGAAAAGGUCUUUCAGAGGUCCUAAGAGACAAUUCUUUAACCAUUUCUUUUUCUCAUUAGUUGUAAGAAAUACAUUUUA